GGGCUCGUGGUGUAGUGGCCAAACAUGCGGCCCUGUCAAGGCCGAGAUCGGGGGUUCGAAUCCCCUCGAGCCCGCCA
rnacentral:tRNA from 1 species